rnacentral:rRNA from 1 species
GAUGAACGCUAGCGGGAGGCCUAACACAUGCAAGCCGAGCGGUAUUUGUUCUUCGGAACAGAGAGAGCGGCGCACGGGUGCGGAACACGUGUGCAACCUGCCUUUAUCUGGGGGAUAGCCUUUCGAAAGGAAGAUUAAUACCCCAUAAUAUAUUGAGUGGCAUCAUUUGAUAUUGAAAACUCCGGUGGAUAGAGAUGGGCACGCGCAAGAUUAGAUAGUUGGUGAGGUAACGGCUCACCAAGUCAAUGAUCUUUAGGGGGCCUGAGAGGGUGAUCCCCCACACUGGUACUGAGACACGGGCCAGACUCCUACGGGAGGCAGCAGUGAGGAAUAUUGGACAAUGGGUUAGCGCCUGAUCCAGCCAUCCCGCGUGAAGGACGACGGCCCUAUGGGUUGUAAACUUCUUUUGUAUAGGGAUAAACCUACUCUCGUGAGAGUAGCUGAAGGUACUAUACGAAUAAGCACCGGCUAACUCCGUG